rnacentral:sRNA from 1 species
CACAACGCCAGCCUGGCCCUGUCCGCCAGCAUUGGCCGCGUGCGAGAGCUCAUUGCCCAGGCCCGGGGGGCUGCCAGCAAGGUGGGUGAGAGUCCCAGGGGAAGGUGGACAUCAGGGAGGGUGGUGGUGGACGCUGAUGGACCGUGCCCCGCAGGUCAAGGUGCCCAUGAAGUUCAACGGGCGCUCAGGGGUGCAGCUGCGCACCCCACGGGAUCUUGCCGACCUUGCUGCCUACACUGCCCUCAAGUUCUACCUGCAGGGCCCAGAGCCUGAGCCUGGGCAGGGUACCGAGGAUCGCUUUGUGAUGUACAUGGGCAGCCGCCAGGUACCGGGCUGGCUGGGUGGAUGCGGCCCGAGCUCAGGCUCUGUUUGGAAAUGAGUGGUGCCUGGUCCCUGGUCCCCAUCCCGACUGUGUGUCUGUCACUGCCGCAGGCCACUGGGGACUACAUGGGUGUGUCUCUGCGUGACAAGAAGGUGCACUGGGUGUAUCAGCUGGGUGAGGCGGGCCCUGCAGUCCUAAGCAUCGAUGAGGACAUUGGGGAGCAGUUCGCAGCUGUCAGCCUGGACAGGACUCUCCAGUUUGGCCACAUGUCCGUCACAGUGGAGAGACAGAUGAUCCAGGAAACCAAGGGUGACACGGUGGCCCCUGGGGCAGAGGGGCUGCUCAACCUGCGGCCAGACGACUUCGUCUUCUACGUCGGGGGGUACCCCAGUACCUUCACGCCCCCUCCCCUGCUUCGCUUCCCCGGCUACCGGGGCUGCAUCGAGAUGGACACGCUGAAUGAGGAGGUGGUCAGCCUCUACAACUUCGAGAGGACCUUCCAGCUGGACACGGCUGUGGACAGGCCUUGUGCCCGGUGCGUGUGGCCUGCCCUCCCCGUCUCCACCCACCCCACCCCACCCUCCGCUGACCCCAGAAUCUCCGACCUGCAGCUCCAAGUCGACCGGGGACCCGUGGCUCACGGACGGCUCCUACCUGGAUGGCACCGGCUUCGCCCGCAUCAGCUUCGACAGUCAGAUCAGCACCACCAAGCGCUUCGAGCAGGAGCUGCGGCUCGUGUCCUACAGCGGGGUGCUCUUCUUCCUGAAGCAGCAGAUCCAGGUGUUCCUGCUGGGGGGCAGCCGCAAGCGUGUGCUGGUGCGUGUGGAGCGGGCCACGGUGUACAGCGUGGAGCAGGACAAUGAUCUGGAGCUGGCGGACGCCUACUACCUGGGGGGCGUGCCGCCCGACCAGCUGCCCCCGAGCCUGCGACGGCUCUUCCCCACCGGAGGCUCAGUCCGUGGCUGCGUCAAAGGCAUCAAGGCCCUGGGCAAGUAUGUGGACCUCAAGCGGCUGAACACGACAGGCGUGAGCGCCGGCUGCACCGCUGACCUGCUGGUGGGGCGCGCCAUGACUUUCCACGGCCACGGCUUCCUUCGCCUGGCGCUCUCGAACGUGGCACCGCUCACUGGCAACGUCUACUCCGGCUUCGGCUUCCACAGCGCCCAGGACAGUGCCCUGCUCUACUACCGGGCGUCCCCGGAUGGGCUAUGCCAGGUGUCCCUGCAGCAGGGCCGUGUGAGCCUACAGUUCCUGAGGACUGAAGUGAAAACUCAAGCGGGCUUCGCCGAUGGUGCCCCCCAUUACGUCGCCUUCUACAGCAAUGCCACGGGAGUCUGGCUGUAUGUCGAUGACCAGCUCCAGCAGAUGAAGCCCCACCGGGGACCACCCCCCGAGCUCCAGCCGCAGCCUGAGGGGCCCCCAAGGCUCCUCCUGGGAGGCCUGCCUGAGUCUGGCACCAUUUACAACUUCAGUGGCUGCAUCAGCAACGUCUUCGUGCAGCGGUGAGCCUGGUGGGCGCUGGGGGGCAAGGUCCCAGCUGGCCUUCUGCAGCUGCUGACCGCCUGCCCGCCCUGCACAGGCUCCUGGGCCCACAGCGCGUAUUUGAUCUGCAGCAGAACCUGGGCAGCGUCAAUGUGAGCACGGGCUGUGCACCCGCCCUGCAAGCCCAGACCCCGGGCCUGGGGCCUAGAGGACUGCAGGCCACCGCCCGGAAGGCCUCCCGCCGCAGCCGUCAGCCCACCCGGCAUCCUGCCUGCAUGCUGCCCCCACACCUCAGGACCACCCGAGACUCCUACCAGUUUGGGGGUUCCCUGUCCAGUCACCUGGAGUUUGUGGGCAUCCUCGCCCGACACAGGAACUGGUAAGGCCAGGCCCGGCUGGGGUGGGCUGAGAGGGGCCGCGCAGGCUGACGCCAGCUCCGCUUCCAGGCCCAGUCUCUCCAUGCACGUCCUCCCGCGAAGCUCCCGAGGCCUCCUCCUCUUCACUGCCCGUCUGAGGCCCGGCAGCCCCUCCCUGGCACUCUUCCUGAGCAAUGGCCACUUCGUUGCACAGAUGGAAGGCCUCGGGACUCGGCUCCGCGCCCAGAGCCGCCAGCGCUCCCGGCCUGGCCGCUGGCACAAGGUGAGGGCCGAGAAGAAGGAAGGUGGUGGGCAGGGCCUGGCAGCCCUACCCUGACCCAUCUCCUGCCCCCAGGUUUCCGUGCGCUGGGAGAAGAACCGGAUCCUGCUGGUGAUGGACGGGGCCCGGGCCUGGAGCCAGGAGGGGCCGCACCGGCAGCACCAGGGGGCAGAGCACCCCCAGCCCCACACCCUCUUUGUGGGCGGCCUCCCGGCCAGCAGCCACAGCUCCAAACUUCCGACCUCCCAGGAGCUACACUGCCUGAUGUGGGCCUGGAACUGGAGGUGCGGCCCCUGGCAGUCACCGGACUGAUCUUCCACUUGGGCCAGGCCCGGACGCCCCCCUACUUGCAGCUGCAGGUGACCGAGAAGCAAGUCCUGCUGCGGGCGGACGACGGAGCAGGGGAGUUCUCCACGUCAGUGACCCGCCCCUCAGUGCUGUGUGACGGCCAGUGGCACCGGCUAGCAGUGAUGAAAGGCGGGAAUGUGCUGCGGCUGGAGGUGGACGCGCAGAGCAACCACACCGUGGGCCCCUUGCUGGCGGCUGCAGCUGGUGCCCCAGCCCCUCUGUACCUCGGGGGCCUGCCUGAGCCCAUGGCCGUGCAGCCCUGGCCCCCCGCCUACCGCGGCUGCAUGAGGAGGCUGGCGGUGAACCGGUCCCCCGUCGCCAUGACUCGUUCUGUGGAGGUCCACGGGGCAGUGGGGGCCAGUGGCUGCCCAGCCGCCUAGGGCACAGCCAACCCCGGCCCCUGGUCAGGCCCCUGCAGCUGCCUCACACCACCCCUUGUGCUCGCCUCAUAGGUGUCUAUUUGGACUCUAGGCUCUACGGGUGACAGAUCUUGUUUCUGAAGAUGGUUUAAGUUAUAGCUUCUUAAAUGAAAGAAUAAAAUACUGCAAAAUGUUUUUAUAUUUGGCCCUUCCACCCAUUUUUAAUUGUGAGAGAUUUGUCAUCAAUCAUCACUGGUUCCUCCUUAAAAAUGAAAAAGUAACUUCUGUGUAACCGA